UGUAUGAUGAAGGCCUUCGGGUUGUAAAGUACUUUUGGCAGAGAAGAAAAGGCAUCCCCUAAUACGGGAUGCUGCUGACGGUAUCUGCAGAAUAAGCACCGGCUAACUACGUGCCAGCAGCCGCGGUAAUACGUAGGGUGCAAGCGUUAAUCGGAAUUACUGGGCGUAAAGCGUGUGUAGGCGGUUCGGAAAGAAAGAUGUGAAAUCCCAGGGCUCAACCUUGGAACUGCGUUUUUAACUGCCGAGCUAGAGUAUGUCAUAGGGGGGUAGAAUUCCACGUGUAGCAGUGAAAUGCGUAAAUAUGUGGAGGAAUACCGAUGGCGAACGCGGCCGCCUGGAUAAUACUGACGCUCAGACACGAAAGCGUCGGAGGAGACACCAUUAGAUACGCUGGUAGUCCACACCCUCAACGAUGUCAACUGCCUCACGGGGGCGGUACCCUCCUUAGCACAGCUCACCUCGCAGUG
rnacentral:rRNA from 1 species